UACGUAGGGUGCGAGCGUUAAUCGGAAUUAUUGGGCGUAAAGCGUGCGCAGGCGGUUUUGUAAGACAGGUGUGAAAUCCCCGGGCUUAACCUGGGAACUGCGCUUGUGACUGCACGACUGGAGUGUGGCAGAGGGGGGUGGAAUUCCACGUGUAGCAGUGAAAUGCGUAGAUAUGUGGAGGAAUACCGAUGGCGAAGGCAGCCCCCUGGGAUAACACUGACGCUCAUGCACGAAAGCGUGGGGAGCAAACAGG
rnacentral:rRNA from 1 species